GGCUAUAUAAAUAAAUUUGAUUUGAUUUGAUUUGUACAGUCACCCAUAGAAAGGGCCUCAGAGUACGAUAUUUACUUGUGAUUGUAUCAGUUACAUGAAUGAUGCUGAUUACAGCAAAUGUAAUGUAGGUUCUGAAGGGUCUAGUUAUUGGAUCACUGCAGUAGGAGUUGUGUAAUAUUUCAUUAACCAGACAGAGUAAAACGAAUGAUGUAGAUGUCCUUCAAACUAAUAAUGCCCUCAAAUCAGGACUUGUAAUCUGAUGUAAUCUUGUUGUUACAUUGUUGUCAACAUGUAGCUUUAUAUUACACUGAAUAGUCAAAAUAACAAUCCUCAAUGGGAUAUUGAACAAAGUGAUAUCAGCUUCCCAACACUGCCCUUUGUCAGGUCUCAGAAAGAAAGAAACAUUGAGAAUCAUAACAUGGACACCAAUCACUUCUAAAGGAUUCUUUAUUGCCAUGUCCUCCAGUUCACAGUACAUGAACAACAUUUAGUCAAUUGACUUCCUGUGAGGGAAAGAACAGGUUUAGAGGUGGCAUCAUACUGAAAACAUGUUUUUGUGUUUUACAAUACAUUCCCUCAGUGUGCCACUGCCUGGUUAUGGUAACGUCAGCUCUUUAACUGGCUGAGCUGAGUGCAUAAUGUGUGCUACUGUUCUGACCUGAUGUGUGGCCCAGGCCUGCCGUAAACCUACACCAGGGAUAUGACUUCAUGUGUGCUUCUACUGGUAAUCAUGUACUCUAUUCUAUCUUGACAUUCCAGCUCUGUGUGGUAAGUAGGACAUAUACUGACACCAUGGUUUCCUGUAAGGAUGGUGUCAUGACAUAAAAGGCAAACCAAUGAGGAUAACAGGAAAACACUUCAUUUAUCCGUGCUCUUACAGCAUGGAGGGGUGGAGGCAACAUCCACAUGUCUCUACCAGGGAUCUUUCUCAUAGGUUUACUAUUGGCUGGGUGGAGAUCAUUUUCCAGCUGAAGUAGCCUACAGCAGGUGAGUGAAUGGCCUAUUGAAUUGUUCUGUGUCAGGUGUCAGACAUACAUUCUGUGUUAGGUGUCAGACAUACGUUCUGUGUUAGGUGUCAGACAUACGUUCUGUGUUAGGUGUCAGACAUACGUUCUGUGUCAGGUGUCAGACAUAUGUUCUGUGUUAGGUGUCAGACAUACGUUCUGUGUCAGACAUACGUUCUGUGUUAGGUGUCAGACAUACGUUCUGUGUUAGGUGUCAGACAUACGUUCAGUGUCAGGUGUCAGACAUAUGUUCUGUGUUAGGUGUCAGACAUACGUUCUGUGUCAGACAUACGUUCUGUGUUAGGUGUCAGACAUACGUUCAGUGUCAGGUGUCAGACAUACGUUCUGUGUCAGACAUACGUUCUGUGUUAGGUGUCAGACAUACGUUCUGUGUCAGACAUACGUUCUGUGUCAGGUGUCAGACAUACGUUCUGUGUCAGGUGUCAGAUAUACGUUCUGUGUCAGGUGUCAGACAUACGUUCUGUGUCAGGUGUCAGACAUACGUUCUGUGUUAGGUGUCAGACAUACGUUCUGUGUCAGGUGUCAGACAUACGUUCUGUGUUAGGUGUCAGACAUACGUUCUGUGUCAGACAUACGUUCUGUGUUAGGUGUCAGACAUACAUUCUGUGUCAGGUGUCAGACAUACGUUCUGUGUCAGACAUACGUUCUGUGUUAGGUGUCAGACAUACGUUCUGUGUCAGGUGUCAGACAUACGUUCAGUGUCAGGUGUCAGACAUACGUUCUGUGUCAGGUGUCAGACAUACGUUCUGUGUUAGGUGUCAGACAUACGUUCUGUGUCAGACAUACGUUCUGUGUCAGGUGUCAGACAUACGUUCUGUGUCAGACAUACGUUCUGUGUCAGGUGUCAGACAUACGUUCUGUGUUAGGUGUCAGACAUACGUUCUGUGUCAGGUGUCAGACAUACGUUCUGUGUUAGGUGUCAGACAUACGUUCUGUGUUAGGUGUCAGACAUACAUUCUGUGUCAGGUGUCAGACAUACGUUCUGUGUCAGACAUACGUUCUGUGUUAGGUGUCAGACAUACGUUCUGUGUCAGGUGUCAGACAUACGUUCUGUGUUAGGUGUCAGACGUACAUUCUGUGUCAGACAUACGUUCUGUGUUAGGUGUCAGACAUACGUUCUGUGUCAGGUGUCAGACAUACGUUCUGUGUUAGGUGUCAGACAUACGUUCUGUGUCAGGUGUCAGACAUACGUUCUGUGUUAGGUGUCAGACAUACGUUCUGUGUCAGGUGUCAGACAUACGUUCUGUGUUAGGUGUCAGACAUACGUUCUGUGUCAAACAUACGUUCUGUGUUAGGUGUCAGACAUACAUUCUGUGUCAGGUGUCAGACAUACGUUCUGUGUCAGACAUACGUUCUGUGUUAGGUGUCAGACAUACGUUCUGUGUCAGGUGUCAGACAUACGUUCUGUGUUAGGUGUCAGACGUACGUUCUGUGUCAGGUGUCAGACAUACGUUCUGUGUUAGGUGUCAGACGUACGUUCUGUGUUAGGUGUCAGACAUACGUUCUGUGUUAGGUGUCAGACAUACGUUCUGUGUCAGACAUACGUUCUGUGUCAGGUGUCAGACAUAUACGUUCUGUGUUAGGUGUCAGACAUACGUUCUGUGUCAGACAUACGUUCUGUGUUAGGUGUCAGACAUACGUUCUGUGUUAGGUGUCAGACAUACGUUCUGUGUCAGGUGUCAGACAUACGUUCUGUGUCAGGUGUCAGACAUACGUUCUGUGUCAGACAUACGUUCUGUGUCAGACAUACGUUCUGUGUCAGGUGUCAGACAUACGUUCUGUGUCAGGUGUCAGACAUACGUUCUGUGUCAGGUGUCAGACACGUUCUGUGUCAGGUGUCAGACAUACGUUCUGUGUCAGGUGUCAGACAUACGUUCUGUGUCAGGUGUCAGACAUACGUUCUGUGUCAGGUGUCAGACAUACGUUCUGUGUCAGGUGUCAGACAUACGUUCUGUGUCAGGUGUCAGACAUACGUUCUGUGUUAGGUGUCAGACAUACGUUCUGUGUCAGACAUGCGUUCUGUGUCAGGUGUCAGACAUACGUUCUGUGUCAGGUGUCAGACAUACGUUCUGUGUUAGGUGUCAGACAUACGUUCUGUGUCAGACGUACGUUCUGUGUCAGACAUACGUUCUGUGUUAGGUGUCAGACAUACAUUCUGUGUUAGGUGUCAGACAUACGUUCUGUGUUAGGUGUCAGACAUACGUUCUGUGUGAGGUGUCAGACAUACUUUCUGUGUCAGACAUACGUUCUGUGUCAGACAUACGUUCUGUGUUAGACAUACGUUCUGUGUUAGGUGUCAGACAUACGUUCUGUGUCAGACAUACGUUCUGUGUUAGGUGUCAGACAUACGUUCUGUGUUAGGUGUCAGACAUACGUUCUGUGUCAGGUGUCAGACAUACGUUCUGUGUCAGACAUACAUUCUGUGUCAGGUGUCAGACAUACGUUCUGUGUCAGGUGUCAGACAUACAUUCUGUGUCAGACAUACGUUCUGUGUUAGGUGUCAGACAUACGUUCUGUGUCAGGUGUCAGACAUACGUUCUGUGUUAGGUGUCAGACAUACGUUCUGUGUCAGGUGUCAGACAUACGUUCUGUGUCAGACAUACGUUCUGUGUUAGGUGUCAGACAUACGUUCUGUGUCAGACAUGCGUUCUGUGUCAGACAUACGUUCUGUGUCAGGUGUCAGACAUACGUUCUGUGUUAGGUGUCAGACAUACGUUCUGUGUCAGACAUACGUUCUGUGUUAGGUGUCAGACAUACGUUCUGUGUCAGGUGUCAGACAUACGUUCUGUGUUAGGUGUCAGACAUACGUUCUGUGUCAGACAUACGUUCUGUGUCAGGUGUCAGACAUACGUUCUGUGUUAGGUGUCAGACAUACAUUCUGUGUCAGACAUACGUUCUGUGUCAGGUGUCAGACAUACGUUCUGUGUUAGGUGUCAGACAUACGUUCUGUGUUAGGUGUCAGACAUACAUUCUGUGUCAGAUAUACAUUCUGUGUCAGACAUACAUUCUGUGUCAGACAUACGUUCUGUGUUAGGUGUCAGACAUACGUUCUGUGUUAGGUGUCAGACACGUUCUGUGUUAGGUGUCAGACAUACGUUCUGUGUCAGGUGUCAGACAUACGUUCUGUGUUAGGUGCAGACAUACGUUCUGUGUCAGACAUACGUUCUGUGUCAGGUGUCAGACACGUUCUGUGUUAGGUGUCAGACAUACGUUCUGUGUCAGGUGUCAGACAUACGUUCUGUGUCAGGUGUCAGACAUACGUUCUGUGUUAGGUGCAGACAUACGUUCUGUGUCAGACAUACGUUCUGUGAUGCAUAAAUGGGUCUUCAAAGUGCACUCAAGAGUGUGAUUUGGAGGAUGGUUCAUACUUGUCCAAAUUAUUGUGGAAAGUUGUGUUUUUCUGCAUCGAAUUAUUAGAUUUUGAUAGGGUUGGAGAUACUGGUCUUUAACCAGUGCUAUACAGAAUAAUUCCCAAUAACCUAACAAAACCAAACACAAAUUUCAUAUCGUCUUCAUAUAUAACCCAUUUGACACUUUCCUGGGGUCCCUAACCCCAUCUUAUUGUAGGUCUUCUUUUAAAUGUAAUUAGGGCUGCAGAGCGGACCCUGGAGAGACCCCAUACCAACCAACCUUACAUCUGCGUCUGUCAUGUGGCAGACACACCUGUCAUUCUGGAGUGUACAGGACAACCUGUCACUGUCUGCUACCAUGAAGAACUGAAAUGAAGACACCAAGCUGAGUUACCGUUCAUUACACUUUCAGGUAGGCAGAAUGUCUGAGAGAGAAGCCUUCACAUGAACCAGUCUGACCAUGUUGUCUGUCCAGUCCUCUGUGGACAGUCUGAGAGUCACUCUUUAACAUG
rnacentral:lncRNA from 1 species